rnacentral:rRNA from 1 species
CCUACGGGUGGCUGCAGUAAGGAAUAUUGGACAAUGGGCGCAAGCCUGAUCCAGCCAUGCCGCGUGCAGGAUGACGGCCCUAUGGGUUGUAAACUGCUUUUAUACGGGAAAAAACCCCUCUACGUGUAGAGGGCUGAUGGUACCGUAAGACUAAGGAUCGGCUAACUCCGUGCCAGCAGCCGCGGUAAUACGGAGGAUCCGGGCGUUAUCCGGUUUUAUUGGGUUUUAGGCGUGCUUGUACGUCAUUGUUGAAAUCCUGCAGCUUAACUGUAGAACUGCCAUUGAUACUGCAAGUCUUGAGUACAUAUGAUGUGGGCGGAAGGUGUAGUGUAGCGGUGAAAUGCUUAGAUAUUACACAGAACACCAAUUGCGAAGGCAGCUCACAAAACUGUAACUGACGCUGAGGCACGAAAGCGUGGGGAGUGAACAGGAUUAGAUACCCUAGUAGUC